GCUGGCCAUAAUCAGGGUUCCCUGAGGCUGUCAUGUCUGCCUUGGGGAGGUGAGUGGCAGCGCCGUACGUGGAGUCAAAGAGGGACUGGUCGUCGCUCACCACCGACAGGGCCUCCUUGACGUAAGACGAAGUGUCUGGUACAGUCUGAAACAUCCUUACGUGUUUAGCAGAUAUUUUAAAAGGUCCUAAAAUUGAUCUUUGAUACCCUUUCC
rnacentral:lncRNA from 1 species